GGAGUUAUACAUAGUAUGCAGUUGUCUGGCAGAGGUUUGUUUCGCACUUUUAAUGCGAUGGUCAUGCGUUCGAAUCGCAUGUGACCCACCA
rnacentral:tRNA from 1 species